rnacentral:rRNA from 1 species
GACGAACGCUGGCGGCGUGCUUAACACAUGCAAGUCGAACGGAAAGGCCCUGCUUUUGUGGGGUGCUCGAGUGGCGAACAGGUGAGUAACACGUGAGUAACCUGCCCUUGACUUUGGGAUAACUUCAGGAAACUGGGGCUAAUACCGGAUAGGAGCUCCUGCUGCAUGGUGGGGGUUGGAAAGUUUCGGCGGUUGGGGAUGGACUCGCGGCUUAUCAGCUUGUUGGUGGGGUAGUGGCUUACCAAGGCUUUGACGGGUAGCCGGCCUGAGAGGGUGACCGGCCACAUUGGGACUGAGAUACGGCCCAGACUCCUACGGGAGGCAGCAGGGGGGAGUAUUGCACAAUGGGCGGAAGCCUGAGGCAGCAACGCCGCGUGCGGGAUGACGGCCUUCGGGUUGUAAACCGCUUUCGCCUGUGACGAAGCGUGAGUGACGGUAAUGGGUAAAGAAGCACCGGCUAACUACGUG